CUCAAACACGUUUACUUUAUCUAAAUGACUGAAUGUUUAGAUAAAAAUUCAUCCCCAAUUAUUGAUUGAAUCAUCAUUUGUCUUCCCAGUAUCCUUUCAAACUAUAUAUACAGUGUUUGAAUCCAAUAGCUUGUUUACGUCUGCUACCGGUAGGAAGGUGUUGAGUUUUGAAUAAUAUUAUGUCGAUUUGUACGAAGGUUGGCACAGAAGAAACACAAGAAUCCUAUUUGGAAUCAAGUUUCAGUUGUUGCAGUUGUUUGGCCGGGAUUCAGAUCGUGUAUUCGAUUGACAUUACAAAAGAAUUUUAUUACAAACAAUUGUAUAAAAUUAUACAAUUCCAAUGUUACCUCCGGUGUAUCCCACGAUUCUAUCACUAGUAUACAAAAUCAAGGUCGAGGCUCAUCCUGAGCCACAAAUCCUUUACUUCUCUCAUUGAAAGACCAUACCAAAAAGCAUGAUGGCCGAAAUAUUUUAUGCCUUCGGUAAAUAAAUUAUAACAAUUUACAUUUAUUUGACGUGCCUACAUUCAAGCUUGGUCAUCCCAUUUCCAUCUUCGCCCUACUUCAGCAAGAACAGCAGCACGAGCUUGGCUUCUUCUUGCCUCGUCCUCCACCCAAGUUCUGCCAGACUCAAAAUACAUUUACAAGAUGUUAACUCUAUAAGUCAAAGAUACGGUACUAAUCUGGAGCACGGUUUCUAUAAAAGCAAACAAUUCAUAUUCAGUUGUGGACUAAGGAAAGCAAAAGAAAUCUUUUAUAGAAGUAAAUGAAAAUUUGCGCACAGUGGUUUUGUUUAAAUCUGGCUUUUGAAAAAAUCUAUUGGCAUAGAUUCACACAAAUAACUUAAGAGACGAUGCUUUGUUAUUUGCUAUAGUAAUAAGAAAAUCAUGUACCCCAGAGAUAAGAUAUGAUCAUGAAUGGAAAUAGGUGCAGAGUAUGCAUGUUUAAUUAUUUAAGUAUAAGAAAUUGCACUAAUCUGGACAUGAUUGCCCAAGAGCAAAGAAUUUCAGAUGCAGGAGGAGGAGAACCAAAGAGAACUUAAAGAGAAAUUAUCAAAAGGUAACAUAUGAUAAAUAGUUUUGUCAAAAGAUUAGCUUUUAGAGUAUAGACCAAUAGCAUCAAUUGACCCACAUAGCUCAGUGACACCAUGUUCUUUCUUUAUCUGUUUUUUAGGAAACAGUGAGGCAAUGCUUUGUUGUAGUAAAAAAGAAGAAUCAUGCGUCACUACAACUUCUCUAGCAAACAAGUUUCUACACAUGGAAUCUCAUAUAUAAGACAUAAUCAUGCAAGAUUCUACAAGUUUAUACUACAAAUUAUUUGUGCCACAAUUAUUUAGCUACCAUAGGAAUGUAAACUUUGGACACCAAACCAAAAUACCAACUCCAAACCUUCCCACUGUUGUGGCUUUGCAAUCCUCACGAUUUUGAAAUAGGAAUUGGUAAAACAUAA
rnacentral:lncRNA from 1 species